AUUGAACGGUGGGCGCACGCAUCACACACACAUGUCGGACGGUAGCACAGAGAGCUUGUUCUUGGGUGACGAGUGGCGGACGGGUGAGUAAUGUCUGGGGAUCUGCCCGAUAGAGGGGGAUAACCACUGGAAACGGUGGCUAAUACCGCAUAACGUCGCAAGACCAAAGAGGGGGACCUUCGGGCCUCUCACUAUCGGAUGAACCCAGAUGGGAUUAGCUAGUAGGCGGGGUAAUGGCCCACCUAGGCGACGAUCCCUAGCUGGUCUGAGAGGAUGACCAGCCACACUGGAACUGAGACACGGUCCAGACUCCUACGGGAGGCAGCAGUGGGGAAUAUUGCACAAUGGGCGCAAGCCUGAUGCAGCCAUGCCGCGUGUAUGAAGAAGGCCUUCGGGUUGUAAAGUACUUUCAGCGGGGAGGAAGGCGACGGGGUUAAUAACCCUGUCGAUUGACGUUACCCGCAGAAGAAGCACCGGCUAACUC
rnacentral:rRNA from 1 species